CAGUCGCCGCGGGAAUACAGAGGGUGCGAGCGUUAAUCGGAUUUACUGGGCGUAAAGCGUGCGUAGGCGGCUAAUUGAGUCGGAUGUGAAAUCCCCGAGCUUAACUUGGGAAUUGCAUUCGAUACUGGUUAGCUAGAGUGUGGGAGAGGAUGGUAGAAUUCCAGGUGUAGCGGUGAAAUGCGUAGAGAUCUGGAGGUAUACCGAUGGCGAAGGCAGCCAUCUGGCCUAACACUGACGCUGAGGUACGAAAGCAUGGGGAGCAAACAGGAUUAGAUACCCGCGUAGUCCCUGUCUCUUAUAC
rnacentral:rRNA from 1 species